rnacentral:misc_RNA from 1 species
CCCCGCCCUCUCACACACGCGUGCGGACAUCGCGCUCACAAAGAGUGAACUGCACACACACACACACACUUCUCGGCUCCCAGCAGCGCACUGGGACUUUGCCGGCGUUGGGGGACGCAAGAGCAAGGAAAGAAAAGCGAAGAGGACGGGGCCAAGACACGCAGCUUGUCUCUGUCUUUCCCACCUUCACCAUCGCCCUUGAGCUUCCCUGCGCCUUUCUAUACCCCUCCCCCACCGCCGCUUCUGGCUCACAGUCAGACACUGGCACCUGCGAGGGCACUUUGUGUGCUUCACGAAGAAAGACCGAUGAGCAAACGUGGACGGCAGAAUGAUCAGGAAGACGUCGCGCACGCCAUCGAGGUUUUAUGCUGUCGAUCAGCUGUAAAAGGGGAGACCGAGGGCGUUAGCCUGACCCCCCUCGAGCAACAGGUAGUGGCACUGAAAGAAUCCAUCUCGCCGCAUGUGAUCUUGAUGGUCGCUUGCGGUUAUCGUGUAAAAUUCUACGGCUCCGACAGCCGCGCUGUCAGCCGCCGCGUCGGCAUCAUGUGUAUUCCAGGGCAACCCUUCGAGUACAGCAGUUUCCCGUACACCCGCGUGGACCUCUACGUGCACCGGCUUGUGGCUAUGGGGUACCACGUCGGCUUUGCUGAUCAGGAGUCGGCGGCUAUGCGGGCAGCGGACGGGCUCAAGAGCGGCCUCUUCACCCGCAGUGUGUCGCAGCUGUAUAGCCGCGGUACCCUCCUCCCCACGGAACGCGUCACUAACGGCGGUGGCAACGGCUGCGGCCCCGGGGAUGCCUCCAAAGUCCCAGCAGAGGAGAGCUGCGCCGGAGCGGGAGAAGCCGAGGAGGGGGAUGGCACCGGCUUCAGCUGGCCACCACCGCACGCGCCUCCUUCGUCAGACGCAGGCGCGUCAGAGCUCUUCCUGUGUUUCAUAGAUGCCGGCUGCUGCGGUGGUACGCGCGGCACCAACGACGCUGACGACGCACCCACAGCAGCGCGGCCGCCGCUCUCGGUGGUGCUGGUGAGCUUCGUGACGCAGCGGUGCCUGCGCUUCGACGUUCGAGGCGCUCUCGAGCUGGAGGAUGUCACGCAGCGGUACGACAUCGCCGAGGUGAUUGUGCUGGCGGCAGAGUCCCCAUCGAGAGCGCGCGGCGGCCGCGACGUGCCGCUUCAACGCACGACAGCAUGCUUUUUGAAGGCUCUGCCGGAGGUGUACGCCACGGCUCUGCGCCAGGGGCUGCCACUCAACUUCGGACCGACGGCGAACGGGGAGGAGGAUGGCAAGAACGUCAGCGUCUCUGGCUACGUCUAUGCCGCAGGGCAGAGCAUCGACGCUGCCAUUGAGGCGUAUCUGAAGCCGUACAGGCUGGACCAGGUGUACCGGUCGCUGUGCGCGCGCGGAAGCUCAACUGAAGAGGCGCUCCGCGAAAACGAAGAAGGAGCGGCAGCGGCGGCACCUCCAGCGCACGACGGCGCGAGCACAGACGCGCGGUUCCGCUGCCUACACCUACCCGGUCCGACGCUGCGCGCGUUGGACGUUUUUCACAGCAGUGUAGGACUCCGCGGCUCCUUGGUCGGGCUGCUCGACCACAGCGUCACACCGUGUGGGUCACGGUGUCUACGCCGGUGGCUUGCUGCACCUCUGUGCGAGCGCGCCUCCAUUGUCGCCCGGCAGGAAGUACUCGCCUACCUCAUGGCCUGCAAAGACGACGGCCAAAUCGAGGAUCUCCUUCACGAGUGCGCGCGCCAGGGAGAUGUUGAAGCCGUCGUGAGCAAGCUGUAUGCUGAGCGCUGCCAGGUUGUAGAGUUCGUGCGCCUGCUGCGCAUGGUAAGAAGUGUUUCAGUGCUCGCAGCGCAGCUGUGCGACAGGGAGGGCGAUGCUGGCCUCAGCAGCAGCCGACCGCCGCCUCUUCUUACUCAGCUGCUGGCGAGUGUACAUGGCCCUGCGGUGGCGCGACUGCUCGAGAGGCAUGCUGCAUUGCUACGCACCACCGCGACGACACCGCUAGAGUACUUCACGGAGGGCGGUCGCGCCGUGCCGGACGCGUUGCUGCCGCAUCUGAAGGCCAGGCAGAAGGCGGAGGCUGCCCUGCAGGCGGAGCUGGAGGCAGCGCGAAAGGUGCUAGGCUUGCCGGGGCUCGAGUAUCGCGCCAUCUGCGGAACUCCCUUUCUACUCGACGUGCCGGCCUGCAAGUGCGCGCGCGUGCCGUCGGACUGGGUGGUGCAGACACGCACGAAGACGAAUGUGCGAUACCACACGCCGAUUAUCACAGAGCAGCACAUUGCCCUGACGGCGGCGACGGAGCGGCUGUCGCUGGCGGCCACCGCGGCUUGGUGGCAGCACCAGCGUGACACCGUCGCUGACGUAGAAGUGAUGCGGGUGCUGACGGGCGUAGUGGAGGCCAUCGCAUCACUGGACGCUCUCCGCUCCCUGGCGUUGGUGUCCCAGCAGCCGGGUUACGUAAUGCCAGCGCUCGUGGCGCUACCAGAGUGUGCGCGGCAGUCUUCUACGUCGGCGUCGUCGCCCGUGGUGCUCACCAUUCGGCAGGGCCGCCACCCCAUCCUCGAUCGGCUUCUCCCUCACGGCUACGUCAGCUGCGAUGUGCAGCUGCGCGCAGGCGGGGCGUGGCUGCUGACGGGGCCAAACAUGGGCGGCAAGUCUGCUCUCAUGCGCAUGGUGGGUACGUUCGUCGUGCUGGCGCAAAUAGGCUGCGGCGUGCCGGCCGACGCAGCGGAGCUGCCGGUGUUCGAGGGCAUAUAUUGCCGCAUGGGCGCUAGCGACUCCAUCCUCGAAGGGGCCUCCACCUUUCUCUCUGAGAUGGACGAGACAAGUCGCAUCCUGCGCGCCCCACAGCUGCCCCAUUCGCUCGUUCUGAUGGACGAGCUGGGGCGCGGCACAAGCAGCUUCGACGGUGCUGCCGUUGCCGCCGCGACGCUGGAGUACUUGCUAGACCGUCGGGCCACUACCGUGUUCGUGACGCACUACUGCUAUCUGUGCGAUCCCUACGUGGCGCAGAGGAUCACCGGCAGCGGUGAAAAUGAAGAGAGGCGGAUGGACGCCGACGAAGCUCGCGACGUGACGUGCUACUACAUGGGCUUCAAGGAGUCAGGCCCAAACCCACUCGCUGGCCAUGGCAUGAAGCCGCCGUUGGUCUUCACCUACAAGCCGUGCCGCGGCGUCACGCCGUCCAGCUUUGGUGUAGCCAUCGGCCGCGAAGCGGGUCUGCCAUCUGGGGUGACGGACACCGCCAGCCGCCUAAGCGCCGAGGCGGAGCAGCAGCAUCGCGUGAAACAGGACCUCUACGAGGUGCGUCGUUUUCUGUCUUCGUGAUACGAUCCGAAGUGCACGAGGGGGCUCUCGCUGCUUCUUGACGGUCCCACCUCUCUGUGAUGGCAAAUAUCGGGCAGGGACUUCACUCGUAUCGGUGAGCAGCCCCCUUCUCCCUUUUCUCCCCCCUCACACAUGCACUUGAAGGGCUGGCCAGGAGGCUAUCGUGACAAUGGCGGGUCGACUUCCGCGUCAUUCCUUCGCUUGCUGCGCUGGCCAAGGGCCCUCGCGGCGCUCUCGCUCCUCUGUUCAUCCCUCCCUUUCUCCC